rnacentral:rRNA from 1 species
UGGGGAAUAUUGCACAAUGGGCGCAAGCCUGAUGCAGCCAUGCCGCGUGUAUGAAGAAGGCCUUCGGGUUGUAAAGUACUUUCAGCGGGGAGGAAGGGAGUAAAGUUAAUACCUUUGCUCAUUGACGUUACCCGCAGAAGAAGCACCGGCUAACUCCGUGCCAGCAGCCGCGGUAAUACGGAGGGUGCAAGCGUUAAUCGGAAUUACUGGGCGUAAAGCGCACGCAGGCGGUUUGUUAAGUCAGAUGUGAAAUCCCCGGGCUCAACCUGGGAACUGCAUCUGAGACUGGAAAGCUUGAGUCUCGUAGAGGGGGGUAGAAUUCCAGGUGUAGCGGUGAAAUGCGUAGAGAUCUGGAGGAAUACCGGUGGCGAAGGCGGCCCCCUGGACGAAGACUGACGCUCAGGUGCGAAAGCGUGGGGAGCAAACAGG